rnacentral:rRNA from 1 species
UACGGGGGGGGCAAGCGUUGUUCGGAAUUACUGGGCGUAAAGGGCGCGUAGGCGGCCUGCUAAGUCGGAUGUGAAAUCCCUCGGCUCAACCGAGGAACUGCAUCCGAUACUGGCGGGCUUGAAUCCGGGAGAGGGAUGUGGAAUUCCAGGUGUAGCGGUGAAAUGCGUAGAUAUCGGGAGGAACACCAGAGGCGAAGGCGGCUUCCUGGACCGGUCCUGACACUGAGGAGCGAAAGCGUGGGGAGCGAUCCGG